GGCCUUUCGGGGUACACGAGUGGCGAACGGGUGAGUAACACGUGGGUGAUCUGCCCUGCACUUUGGGAUAAGCCUGGGAAACUGGGUCUAAUACCGAAUAUGACCUUGGGAUGCAUGUUCCUUGGUGGAAAGCUUUUGCGGUGUGGGAUGGGCCCGCGGCCUAUCAGCUUGUUGGUGGGGUGAUGGCCUACCAAGGCGACGACGGGUAGCCGGCCUGAGAGGGUGUCCGGCCACACUGGGACUGAGAUACGGCCCAGACUCCUACGGGAGGCAGCAGUGGGGAAUAUUGCACAAUGGGCGCAAGCCUGAUGCAGCGACGCCGCGUGAGGGACGACGGCCUUCGGGUUGUAAACCUCUUUCAGCACAGACGAAGCGUGAGUGACGGUAUGUGCAGAAGAAGCACCGGCCAACUACGUGCCAGCAGCCGCGGUAAUACGUAGGGUGCGAGCGUUGUCCGGAAUUACUGGGCGUAAAGAGCUCGUAGGUGGUUUGUCGCGUUGUUCGUGAAAACUCACAGCUCAACUGUGGGCGUGCGGGCGAUACGGGCAGACUGGAGUACUGCAGGGGAGACUGGAAUUCCUGGUGUAGCGGUGGAAUGCGCAGAUAUCAGGAGGAACACCGGUGGCGAAGGCGGGUCUCUGGGCAGUAACUGACGCUGAGGAGCGAAAGCGUGGGGAGCGAACAGGAUUAGAUACCCUGGUAGUCCACGCCGUAAACGGUGGGUACUAGGUGUGGGUUUCCUUCCUUGGGAUCCGUGCCGUAGCUAACGCAUUAAGUACCCCGCCUGGGGAGUACGGCCGCAAGGCUAAAACUCAAAGAAAUUGACGGGGGCCCGCACAAGCGGCGGAGCAUGUGGAUUAAUUCGAUGCAACGCGAAGAACCUUA
rnacentral:rRNA from 1 species